rnacentral:rRNA from 1 species
GCGUAAGCGUACGCAGGCGGUUUGUUAAGCUGAGAUGUGAAAGCCCCGGGCUCAACCUGGGAACUGCAUUUCGAACUGGCAAACUAGAGUGUGAUAGAGGGUGGUGGAAUUUCAGGUGUAGCGGUGAAAUGCGUAGAGAUCUGAAGGAAUACCGAUGGCGAAGGCAGCCACCUGGGUCAACACUGACGCUCAUGUACGAAAGCGUGGGGAGCAAACAGGAUUAGAUACCCUGGUAGUCCACGCCGUAAACGAUGUCUACUAGAAGCUCGGAGCCUCGGCUCUGUUUUUCAAAGCUAACGCAUUAAGUAGACCGCCUGGGGAGUACGGCCGCAAGGUUAAAACUCAAUG